rnacentral:rRNA from 1 species
CCUACGGGAGGCAGCAGUGGGGAAUCUUGCGCAAUGGGCGAAAGCCUGACGCAGCCACGCCGCGUGAAUGAUGAAGGUCUUAGGAUUGUAAAAUUCUUUCACCGGGGACGAUAAUGACGGUACCCGGAGAAGAAGCCCCGGCUAACUUCGUGCCAGCAGCCGCGGUAAUACGAAGGGGGCUAGCGUUGCUCGGAAUUACUGGGCGUAAAGGGAGCGUAGGCGGACAGUUUAGUCAGAGGUGAAAGCCCAGGGCUCAACCUUGGAAUUGCCUUUGAUACUGAUUGUCUUGAGUUUGGGAGAGGUGUGUGGAACUCCGAGUGUAGAGGUGAAAUUCGUAGAUAUUCGGAAGAACACCAGUGGCGAAGGCGACACACUGGCCCAAUACUGACGCUGAGGCUCGAAAGCGUGGGGAGCAAACAGGAUUAGAUACCCUGGUAGUCCACGCCGUAAACGAUGAGUGCUAGUUGUCGGCAUGCAUGCAUGUCGGUGACGCAGCUAACGCAUUAAGCACUCCGCCUGGGGAGUACGGUCGCAAGAUUAAAACUCAAAGGAAUUGACGG